GGCAUUCCGUCACAAAAUAAGCACAAACUUGAUUUAACAUUCAUUAAAAUUAACAAUAAUGUAUGAAGUUAAGAACAAGUUUGAGAGGUGGACCUUUUGAUAAAAUUAUCUCCAAAGAAAAUUGUAUAGCAACAGAGGCAAACUCCGACAAAAAAGUCGAUGACCACUGAAUUACAGAACCAUGACCGAGACUCCAACGACGGCCGCGAACUAUACGGAUGGAACUUUAGUGCAACUUCACGGUAGCAGCAGUUUUGUUGGAAGGAAGUGUCGCCACUUUUUUGGAUUUUUCGGCUGAAAAUCUAAGAAAGAGAGGGGACGAGAGGCUGUGUUGAUUUGGUGCUGCUGAAGGUUCCCGUUGAUGGGUGUUCUCCUCUCUGGGUUAUGGCAAUUGGCAGGGUGAAUUUUUUGGUUCUAUGAUUUUUCCUAGUUUUUUUUUGUUUUUUUGGAAGAAGAAAGAGCUCUAGCAGCUGAUUCUACUAUUUCUUUUUGGCCUCUUUUGCAUAUGUUAGUAUGUUUGUGUAGAUAAUAUUAUAUACGGUAGGUAUUAGGUUAGGGUAUGGGCCUACGGAUUAUGUGCUAGGGAAUAGACUUUGGUUAUGUGGAUUUGGAUAGAAAAAUUAUGGUCUGGGCUACUUUGGUUUUGAAAAUGG
rnacentral:lncRNA from 1 species